GACGAACGCUGGCGGCGUGCUUAACACAUGCAAGUCGAACGGAAAGGCCCUGCUUUUGUGGGGUGCUCGAGUGGCGAACGUGUGAGUAACACGUGAGUAACCUUCCCUUUACUUUGGGAUAACUUCAGGAAACUGGGGCUAAUACCUGAUAGGAGCUCCUGCUGCAUGGUGGGGGUUGGAAAGUUUCGGCGGUUGGGGAUGGACUCGCGGGUUAUCAGCUUGUUGGUGGGGUAGUGGCUUACCAAGGCUUUGAAGGGUAGCCGGCCUGAGAGGGUGACCGGCCACAUUGGGACUGAGAGACGGACCAGACUCGUACGGGAGGCAGCAGUGGGGAAUAUUGCACAAUGGGCGGAAGCCUGAUGCAGAAACGCCGGGUGCGGGAUGACGGCCUUCGGGUUGUAAACCGCUGUAGGCUGUGACGAAGCGUGAGUGACGGUAAUGGGUAAAGAAGCACCGGCUAACUACGUG
rnacentral:rRNA from 1 species